rnacentral:rRNA from 1 species
UACGUAGGGUCCGAGCGUUGUCCGGAAUUACUGGGCGUAAAGAGCUCGUAGGUGGUUUGUCGCGUUGUUCGUGAAAACUCACAGCUCAACUGUGGGCGUGCGGGCGAUACGGGCAGACUAGAGUACUGCAGGGGAGACUGGAAUUCCUGGUGUAGCGGUGGAAUGCGCAGAUAUCAGGAGGAACACCGGUGGCGAAGGCGGGUCUCUGGGCCGAUAUUGACGCUGAGGAGUGAAAGCGUGGGGAGCAAACAGG